GAAAAGACUAUGAAGGAGAAAAGUAGGUUUUAAAUGAUAGUAAAGCGAGCUAAGGUUAGUGGGAGCUUAGCCUAAAGUUUAAUGCUGAAGUUCUCUCUGGAGUUGCUAGUUGAAAUAUAAGUAGACUCAGCCGGAAUUCUUCCGUUAUCUAGGGGAUGAGAUAUUAAGGGUAGUCUACCCCCGUAUCUUAAGUAAGGUGAAUUAAUUGCAGGGUUAUCUAUAACCUAUAAUUAAUUAAUCAGAAUGGUAACGCGAAUAAUAAGCUCUUCGUUUCUGAA
rnacentral:ncRNA from 1 species